rnacentral:rRNA from 1 species
UACGUAGGGGGCAAGCGUUGUCCGGAUUUAUUGGGCGUAAAGAGCGUGUAGGCGGUCAGUUAGGUCCGUUGUGAAAACUCGAGGCUCAACCUCGAGACGCCGAUGGAAACCAUCUGACUAGAGUCCGGAAGAGGAGAGUGGAAUUCCUGGUGUAGCGGUGAAAUGCGCAGAUAUCAGGAAGAACACCCGUGGCUAAGGCGGCUCUCUAGUACGUUACUGACGCUGAGACGCGAAAGCGUGGGGAGCGAACAGG